GAUGAACGCUGGCGGCGUGCCUAAUACAUGCAAGUCGAGCGAACAGACGAGGAGCUUGCUCCUCUGACGUUAGCGGCGGACGGGUGAGUAACACGUGGAUAACCUACCUAUAAGACUGGGAUAACUUCGGGAAACCGGAGCUAAUACCGGAUAAUAUAUUGAACCGCAUGGUGCAAUAGUGAAAGACGGCUGUGCUGUCACUUAUAGAUGGAUCCGCGCCGCAUUAGCUAGUUGGUAAGGUAACGGCUUACGAAGGCAACGAUGCGUAGCCGACCUGUGAGGGUGGUCGGCCACACUGGAACUGAGCCACGGUCCAGACUCCUACGGGAGGCAGCAGUAGGGAAUCUUCCGCAAUGGGCGAAAGCCUGACGCAGCAACGCCGCGUGUGUGAUGAAGGUCUUCCGAUCGUAAAACUCUGUUAUUAGUGAAGAACAAAUGUGUAAGUAACUAUGCACGUCUUGACGGUACCUAAUCAGAAAGCAACGGCUAACUACGUG
rnacentral:rRNA from 1 species